rnacentral:rRNA from 1 species
GACGAACGCUGGCGGCGUGCUUAACACAUGCAAGUCGAACGGAAAGGCCCCUUUGGGGGUACUCGAGUGGCGAACGGGUGAGUAACACGUGAGUAACCUGCCCUUGACUUCGGGAUAACUUCAGGAAACUGGGGCUAAUACCGGAUAGGAAUCCUUGCUGCAUGGUGGGGGUUGGAAAGCUUCGGCGGUUUUGGAUGGACUCGCGGCUUAUCAGCUUGUUGGUGGGGUAGUGGCUUACCAAGGCUUUGACGGGUAGCCGGCCUGAGAGGGCGACCGGCCAUAUUGGGCAGGAGAGGCGGCCCAGACUCCGAGGGGAGGCAGCAGGGGGGAAUAUUGCAAAAGGGGGGGAGGCCUGAUGCAGCAACCCGGCGGGGGGGAGGACGCCCUUGGGGUUGAAACCGGUUUUCAGGGGGGGAGAGGUGUGGGGUGAGGGUACCUGAAAAAGAAGACCCGGCAAACUCCGUC